GACGAACGCUGGCGGCGUGCUUAAUACAUGCAAGUCGAACGGACAGGCCCUGCUUUUGCGGGGUGCUCGAGAGGCGAACGGGUGAGUAACACGCGUGUAACAUGCACCUGUAUUUGGGGUAAAUUCAGGGAACAGGGGCUCAUACCGGAUAGGAGCUCUUGAUGCAUGGUGGGGGUUGGAAAGAUUCGGCGGUUGGGGAUGGACUCGAGGGUUAUCGGCUUGUUGGUGGGGUAGUGGAUUACAAAGGCUUUGACGGGUAGCCGGCCUGGGAGGGUGACCGGCGACAUUGGUACUGAGGUACGGACCAGACUCGUACGUGAGGCAGCAGGGGGGAAUAUUGCACAAUGGGCGGAAGCCUGAGGCAGCAACGUCGCGUGCGGAAUGACGGCCUUCGAGUGGUAAACCGCUGUCGCCUGUGACGAGGCGGUAGUGACGGUAAUUAGUAAAGAAGCACCGGCUAACUACGUG
rnacentral:rRNA from 1 species